rnacentral:lncRNA from 1 species
GGAAAACACGGGAAACAACCCAAAUUAAACCAACCCUUACCUCUCUCUCUCUCUCUCUCUCUCUUUCCUGUAACUCUUCUCGCCUCUCUAGCAGUAGGGUUUUCUAUGCUCCUCCGCCAGCCUCGGUGAACUCUUCUCGCCUCUCCAAUAGGUAUAUCUCUAUGUAUUUGUUUGUAUUGCUUGGGGAUUGGGGAUAAAUGUUUUGAUUUUGGCUGGUACAUAUUUGUUUGAAUUGUUGGUGUAGAUAUUUGAUUGCUGUGGAUAUUGUAUUCAUAUAAAAGAGUCAAGCAUUGUUUUUGGUUUUUGAAAUUUCGGGUGGGUUUUGUUUUUUGCAUCAAAAUUUCUGCAUUUUUAAUUGUUUUGGCCUUUUUGAAUUUAGAAUUUGAUUAGGAAUUCGUAGUUUAUCAGUUUAUGUAAUACUGGCCUUUUCUCCCUUUAAUCCUGACUAAUUUUAAGUUUCAGAAUGAUUUUUUUCUUCUUUUUGAUUUUGAAUUUUUAAUUAGGGUCAACGAUUCAUAUUUAGAAUUUUUAUUAUGUUAGAAUUUGCCUUUUUUUUUUUGUAGUAUUUAUGAUUCUAGGCUACGUGAUUGAGUUUUUGGUUAAUUUGACUAUAAAAUUUUGUGUGUGCGUGUGUGUGUGUAAUGGAGGGAGGAAUUUUGUAGGUAUUAUGUUACUUAAUAUGUAGGGAAAUGAUCUUUUGAAGAUGCCUUAAGCUGAGAGUUGUAUUGAUUAACAUAGUUUAGAAUGGAAUCUUCUGCUGUGAAAAUCAGAAAAUGAUUAUCCAUGAAUGUAUAACUUAUUGUGCGUUUUACCUUUGAAAUAUGAAUGAUCACAUUUUCACGUUUUAUCAAUUAAUAUAAUACAUUUGGUGCCUACUCUUGUUAUGCAUAAUUUUUGUUUGAUGUAUUAUUGAAAUGGUUGUUGAGUUCUCAUGAUAGCGAAGUAAGGUUAAUUUGCUUUCAACAGUUAAACGAGUCAAUAAAGCAAUUCAAUUUUUUUGGUAUUUUACUUGUAGCAUGACCGGGUUUAUGUUCUUUUUCUGGUUUCUGAAAUUGGUUUGGUUUGUGAGGCUAUCAUCAUGUCCGGUUGCAUAUAUAUUGAGUUUUUUUUAUUGAAGUAUAAAAUUUGAUGUGAGCCGCGGGGGGGGGGGGGGGGGGGGGGGGGGUGGGGCAGGGGGGGAGCUUCCCUGGUCUCAAGUCCAAAUUUUUUUCCAAUAGUUAAUUUUGAUGUUGGGCAUUCUGGGUUUUUCAUUUUUUUCCAUACGUUAGGAGCUUUUCUCUUCAAAAUCUACUGGAAUUGUUUGGUAGAUCAGAACCACAUUAUAUACUUCAGGCAAGCUUUAUCAACUUUCUUUUCAAUACUAUUGGAGAAUUGCUUAGUUGUAAAACAUAUUACAGUGUUCUUGUGAGUAAUCAAGUCAAAGUCAUUUGGAAGAUGCUGAAAUUUCUGCUCACUUUUUUUGUUGAUGCAAUGCAAUGCAUCAAUGAAGUAACUUCUUAUUACUUUUCCAACUUGGUAUCUGCUAGUAGUAAUUUCAUUGCAAAGAUUCUUGAAUUUGUAAGUUAAAAUGAUGUUUGGCAAUGUGUUGAUCUUUAUAAUUAUGGGUACAUGUGUUAGUAUGCUUUUGAGCAUUUGGUGGUAUGUGACUAUAAUUAAAUACAUUAAUAUAUCUUCAAAUCGCCCACGGAAGGUCUUAUAUAUUUGAUGAUAAUUUGAUGUAUAUGAAUAUAGCGUCAAUAUGGGUGGUUAUAGAGUUCGGAAUAAGGAACCAAUGUCAUGGUCGGACGAGAAUGAACACGCUUUUAUUGAAAUUCUUUACGAGAAAGUGAAAUCAAAUGCAUUGCAAUGUUCUACAUUCACAAGAGACGAAUGGGGCAGGAUCAAUGAAAUCAUGAUAGCUUCAACAAAAAUGGAUUACGGCAUAGAUAGCUUAAAAGGAAAGUGGAACCGCUUGCGUAAGAUUCAUCGCAUGUUCUCUGAACUUUUGGGACAUACGAGUGUUACAUGGGAUCCAAAUACCAACAAAGUUAAUGCUGCAGAGGAAGUUUGGCAACACUCUUAUACGGUACAUAUAUUUAUGAAAGAAUAUGUUCGUCCUUAUUUUUUAUCUUAUCAAUUUUAUAUUAUUUUCUUCAACACGCUAACAAUGUUGUUUCUUUUUUCAAUGUUAGAUUAACAAGUCGGAUUACAAGUUGCUCAAGAGGGAAGGAUGUAAGCACUACCACACUCUUGGGGAGAUAUUCAGCGGGACUACAGCUACUGGAGGAUUAGGCAGUGCCUCCACCUAGCAUCCAAACACAUCAGAGGAAGAAAGGCAGCUAAAAGAUGAUUUUUUUGAAUAGAGGAGUACAUGUGACUGCAGAAAAUGAUGAUGAAGUCGAUGUGGUUUCAAAUACUCGCCCACGUAACGAAAUUGGUACAUCAGGUAAACGACGACGUAAGGAACCUAAGGUCUGUAAAAGUGAUAAACUCGAGGCUUAUAUCGCACAAUGGUCAUUUACAGUUAAUUUGAGGAAUGAAGAAACUGAACUUAGAACACUUUACCUAAAAGAGAAGCUUGCAAAGAUCAAAGGAAAAGGUAGUUGUCAAUUAGAUAAUGAAGUUACUAGUCCAGAUCUUUAUUCAGAUGUUACUUGCUUGGACAUUUUAAACAAUAUCGAAAGGGUGUCUAAUGAGGUUUACAUGAAAGCAAUAAAGGCUUUCAACGAUCCCGAUUUCAGGGUGUCAUUUGUGAAGAUACUAGAAGCAAGGAGAUGACCUAUCUUGGAACUACUUUGAUGUGACUAUUGUUUUAAUAUGUGAUUGUUGUUAUGUUGAAGUACCAUGUUAAACUCGAGGCUUGAAGUACUUUCCUUCCCCAUUUUGUGGUGAUGUUGUACUAUUUUCAUUUACAAACAUUGUGAUAUUGUUGGUUGGAGAACUGAUGUUGAUUUGUCUUCACUUUUUUAAUGCUUGAUUGCUUGUUUUAUUGAAUUAAUGGUGGUUGAUAUGACUUAUGAUAAUUAAUUUGGUUAUAUUUUGUUCGCAUUAUGGCUAGUGAAUCAAAUGUGGAUGAUAAUUUGCAUGUCGAUGAGUCCAUUGAGGAAGAAUCGAGUGAUGAUGAG